UACAGAGGGGGCAAGCGUUAUUCGGAAUUAUUGGGCGUAAAGGGCGCGUAGGCGGUGUGGUAAGUCUGAUGUGAAACCUCCAGGCUCAACUUGGAGCUUGCAUCAGAAACUGCCGUGCUAGAGUGUGGGAGAGGAGAGUGGAAUUCCUGGUGUAGCGGUGAAAUGCGUAGAUAUCAGGAGGAACACCGGUGGCGAAGGCGGCUCUCUGGACCACAACUGACGCUGAGGCGCGAAAGCUAGGGGAGCAAACAGG
rnacentral:rRNA from 1 species